GUAUUUUUUUCCACAAAUAUUUUAUUGACAUGAAUUUUAUGAAUUUACUAUAUAAAUACUCUGAAACGCAUUAGCCUAAAGUUUGAACUCCUGAAACAAGUGCAAUAACUGUCAGUUUAUUUGAGGCUGACUUAUAACACAUUCAAUAUCGGCUAACUGAGCUAUAGCCAUUUCUUGGUACCCAUCAUUAUAUGCAAGAAGCUUUAAAAAAUGUUCUUAUCGUAAGUGCUAGCCUAUUAUGCAUAAAUGAAGCAAUAUUGAAAUUGUAUUGCAUUAUAAAAACCAUCAAUAUCUCAAACAAUCUGAUAGGUCUUUGCAUCAAUUACAAGGACACUCAGCCAGCAUAAAUUUAUUGACCAGGAUAGUAUUUAAUUUUUUUCUGAAUUGUUUAUAAAAAAUAAAAUUCUUUAUUAUCCUGUUGAAUUAAAGCCAGAAUUUGAAACUUCAACGUAAAGAUACAGAUACAGAUUUUUAUCAUGGGUCUGUUUAAAUCCAUUAUUUUAUUAGUAAAACUUCUAGUUUAUGCCUAUGUUUAUCUCCCUUUGUUGUUUCUUACCUCCUGACUCUUGUUUCCAAAUUCCAAUGUUCUCUUACAUCUUUUGACCCACCUCAUAUACAAGUCUGUCUGAAGUCCAAGAUGACUCAACAUUAUUUUUUCUUUGAUCUGUCAUUGCAAUGUAGCCAUUUUGCAAUAAUCAAUCAAUCUUUGUGUGGAAGAAAUAUUAAUAAACAGGUCCAAGAUCAAGAAUGACUUAUCCAUAGGGUGGGAAGAAAUAUUAAUAAACUGGUCCAAGAUCAAGAAUGACUUAUCCAUAGGGUGACGG
rnacentral:lncRNA from 1 species